rnacentral:lncRNA from 1 species
UUGAACUUUUCCUAGUGCCCUUUUCAUGUGUUUCUUGGGGUUUCAUUUAUUAGGCUUUGGAAAAGUUGUGUUGAUGAGAGGUGAGGAGGAGUUACCUCCUACUUGAUUUGAGCUGGUUAGGAAUACAUUUUUAGAGAGAGAGAGAGAGAGAGAGAGAGAGAGAGAGAGAGGAGAGAAAACGAAAAAACAAACAAAACAAACAGCUUUAAGUGGAAGGUAACUUAUUUUGGGAGGGACUAUAUUUAGAGAGUUACAAGGUUCCUAUUGAUAGGAACUCUUCUUCUAAUAGAGAAAGAGGUUGGAGAGAAACUCAUGAAUAUUUCUCUCCUCCUCUUGGGCUUGGUUCAAACUGGGACUUCGAAUACUUUUGGAAUCCGAGGUAAUUCACUCGAUUUAUAAUUGUCUUUUCUCUUCUUUUUUUUCUUUUUUUUUUCCCCCCCGUUUUCUCAAUAACUAACUAUUCUAAUGUUUGUUGAGAAUUAUUAAGAUGGGAAUAAAUUAAAUUAAAUUAAAUCUUUGCUGCCCUUUUGCUUCAAUUGACAACAAAUGCAGUGAUUGAGCCUUUUCUGUCAUGAAAUGCUUUCCCCUCUUAAAAACAAGAGGUGGAAGAUCAGAUCGAAUCAAACUAUGUACAAUUUGCGCAGGAUUUUACCAAAUUACUUGAACAAGGAGCAUGAAUCAAACAAAACAUAUCUUGAUCUCUUGUUAGUCUCUUCAUCCGUUGCCAUACAGAACAACUGCACAUUAAAUUUGAAGAAUGGAGAGCGUAAAGAGACCCUCCCAAAUAGAAAUUCCGAGGAAGGAAGGAGCGCAGCCACAGCCGAUCCUGCAAAAACAGUCGAGUCAAAAGGCCAACUGCUUGUGCUCGCCGACGACGCACUCGGGCUCGUUUCGAUGCCGGCACCACCGCAACCCCUUUCGCGGCAGCAGCAACUCGGUCGGCUCGGGCCUCUCCGACCUAGCUGAUAAGACCACUUCGCCGGCGAAUGAUAACCUCAACCUUACUGAGGCGUCGUAAUCUCUACUUUCGCCAAUACUAAUAACACACUUCUUUUUCUUCUUUCUUUUUUUUUUCAAUUGCCUCCUCCUUAUCUAAGAACAACCCCAAUAUAUUAUAAAUAAUGGCUGUUGAUGUAUUUUAUUGUGGUGAUGGUAUUUGUAGUCCCCCCCCCAUAUGCUUCCUCCAUCUUUCCUUUUUUGCGUUUUUGUCGUAAUUGUGAUGUUUCAAUAAUAAUCUUUAGUCGAAAUUAGUAUUCUCAGAUGAAUGCGUGCGUGCACGUGGAAAGAGAUGCGAGCUUAAUAAAAAGAUGUCGCCAACCAGUUAUGCGAAUGAAGAGAAUUCUAGAACAUCCCAAAUUUACAGAACUGAAUAUAAUCUCAUCAACAAACAGGUCUCGGACCGAAUUUACAUUAUCGAAAAAAAA